rnacentral:siRNA from 1 species
CAGUGAUCGUUGAUCCAGUCGC